rnacentral:rRNA from 1 species
AUUGAACGCUGGCGGCAUGCCUUACACAUGCAAGUCGAACGGUAGCAGGUCUUCGGAUGCUGACGAGUGGCGAACGGGUGAGUAAUACAUCGGAACGUGCCUAGUAGUGGGGGAUAACUACUCGAAAGAGUGGCUAAUACCGCACGAGAUCUACGGAUGAAAGCAGGGGAUCGCAAGACCUUGUGCUACUAGAGCGGCCGAUGGCAGAUUAGGUAGUUGGUGGGAUAAAAGCUUACCAAGCCGACGAUCUGUAGCUGGUCUGAGAGGACGAUCAGCCACACUGGGACUGAGACACGGCCCAGACUCCUACGGGAGGCAGCAGUGGUGAAUUUUGGACAAUGGGCGCAAGCCUGAUCCAGCAAUGCCGCGUGCAGGAUGAAGGCCUUCGGGUUGUAAACUGCUUUUGUACGGAACGAAAAGCCCCGGGUUAAUACCCUGGGGUCAUGACGGUACCGUAAGAAUAAGCACCGGCUAACUACGUGCCAGCCGCCGCAGUAA